UACGUAGGGGGCGAGCGUUGUCCGGAAUCAUUGGGCGUAAAGCGCGAGCAGGCGGCCUGCAGAGCCUGGCGUGAAAGCCCCGGGCUCAACCUGGGAAUUGCAUUUGAGACUGAAUAGCUAGGGUGCGGAAGAGGGAAGCGGAAUUUCCGGUGUAGCGGUGAAAUGCGUAGAUAUCGGAAGGAACACCAGUGGCGAAAGCGGCUUCCUGGUCCAGCACCGACGUUCAGGCACGAAAGCGUGGGGAGCAAACAGG
rnacentral:rRNA from 1 species